AUUUUUAUUAAAAAGGUAAAGCCGUAAAGGUUACAAUUUUGUCUGCAAUUACAAGGAAGCUGAAAUUUCAUAAUCUUUUAAAUCUCCAUACAUUAAACAUUUUAAUACUUCAAUUCACUUUAUAAUCAUGUUCGGCUUAUCGAAAUUAGCUCAGCCUAUGGCCAAGCAAUCCCUACAAGUAAUGUCCAAGAGAACAAAUAUCACUGUUAACGGUCCACCUCAAGUCAGAAUGCCAAAAUGGCAACAACUGCUUAUCGGAGGUUCUGCAUCUGGAUCAAUCUUGAUCAUACCUAUUUGGGUUCUGUAUGACUUAAAGAGUCUUCCACGAGCUUAAUUACUUUACUUCAUGUUUUUGUUGCAUUAUUAUAAAUUUAGAUAUGUACUAUGUAAACAUUUUUUCUAUAGAAAUAAAAUGAAAUUGUAGUUAAAUACUACCAACUGUAUAAAA